rnacentral:rRNA from 1 species
GUAGGGAAUAUUGGGCAAUGGUCGGAAGACUGACCCAGCCAUGCCGCGUGCAGGAAGACGGCCCUCUGGGUUGUAAACUGCUUUUAUCUGGGAAGAAAAAGGCCAUGCGUGGCAAAUUGCCGGUACCAGAUGAAUAAGCACCGGCUAACUCCGUGCCAGCAGCCGCGGUAAUACGGAGGGUGCGAGCGUUGUCCGGAUUUAUUGGGUUUAAAGGGUGCGUAGGCUGAUGAUUAAGUCAGCGGUGAAAGACUUCGGCUUAACCGGAGCAGUGCCGUUGAUACUGGUUGGCUUGAGUGUCGGAGGGGUACAUGGAAUUGAUGGUGUAGCGGUGAAAUGCAUAGAUACCAUCAGGAACACCGAUAGCGAAGGCAUUGUACUGGCCUACAACUGACGCUGAUGCACGAAAGUGUGGGGAUCGAACAGGAUUAGAUACCCCAGUAGUCC